AUUGAACGCUGGCGGAAUGCUUUACACAUGCAAGUCGAACGGCAGCACGGGGGCAACCCUGGUGGCGAGUGGCGAACGGGUGAGUAAUACAUCGGAACGUGCCCAGUCGUGGGGGAUAACGUAGCGAAAGUUACGCUAAUACCGCAUACGAUCUACGGAUGAAAGCGGGGGACCGUAAGGCCUCGCGCGAUUGGAGCGGCCGAUGUCAGAUUAGGUAGUUGGUGAGGUAAGGCUCACCAAGCCGACGAUCUGUAGCUGGUCUGAGAGGACGACCAGCCACACUGGGACUGAGACACGGCCCAGACUCCUACGGGGGGCAGCAGUGGGGAAUUUUGGACAAUGGGCGCAAGCCUGAUCCAGCCAUUCCGCGUGCAGGACGAAGGCCUUCGGGUUGUAAACUGCUUUUGUACGGAACGAAAAGGCUCUGGUUAAUACCUGGGGCUCAUGACGGUACCGUAAGAAUAAGCACCGGCUAACUACGUGCCAGCCGCCGCUGUAA
rnacentral:rRNA from 1 species